rnacentral:rRNA from 1 species
UACGAAGGGGGCUAGCGUUGCUCGGAAUCACUGGGCGUAAAGGGUGCGUAGGCGGGUCUUUAAGUCAGGGGUGAAAUCCUGGAGCUCAACUCCAGAACUGCCUUGAUACUGAAGAUCUUGAGUUCGGGAGAGGUGAGUGGAACUGCGAGUGUAGAGGUGAAAAUUCGUAGAUAUUGGGAAGAACACCGGUGGCGAAGGCGGCUAUCUGGACCGACAUUGACGCUGAGGCG